UGACUGUGAAAUUAAAGUAUAUUGGAGAGAUUGAUCUUACUACAGAGAUGGUCCUUAUAUGUAGGAAGUUUUUGAUCGCUCUUUCCAAAGUUCUUGUGGAUCAUAAUGUAAAUGAACUAGAAGAGAUUUUGAAUGGUUUGCGGCUGAGGAAAGACCCCGAGAUUGAUUAUUUCCUGCUUCCAUCCAUGGCCUCAUGCCAGAAACCUG
rnacentral:misc_RNA from 1 species